rnacentral:ncRNA from 1 species
UUCUCAUCCAGAGAGGUUGAGGGACUGGCCCGAUGAAACCUCGGCAACCUUCAGGUCCAUUCACCUGAAAAGGUGCCAAUUCCUGCAGCUGAAUUUCAUUUAUUCAGAGGCGAGAUGAGAG